AAGAAUUUAGGUUCACACKUAAACCMAGGGCCUUCAAAGCCCUARACAGGGCCUACCCCUAAUUUCUG
rnacentral:tRNA from 1 species